rnacentral:rRNA from 1 species
UGGUGGNGCAUGUGGUUUAAUUCGAUGCAACGCGAAGAACCUUACCUACUCUUGACAUCCACAGAAUUCGGCAGAGAUGCCUUAGUGCCUUCGGGAACUGUGAGACAGGUGCUGCAUGGCUGUCGUCAGCUCGUGUUGUGAAAUGUUGGGUUAAGUCCCGCAACGAGCGCAACCCUUAUCCUUUGUUGCCAGCACGUAAUGGUGGGAACUCAAAGGAGACUGCCGGUGAUAAACCGGAGGAAGGUGGGGAUGACGUCAAGUCAUCAUGGCCCUUACGAGUAGGGCUACACACGUGCUACAAUGGCGUAUACAAAGAGAAGCGAACUCGCGAGAGCCAGCGGACCUCAUAAAGUACGUCGUAGUCCGGAUCGGAGUCUGCAACUCGACUCNGGAAGUNGGAAUCGC